rnacentral:lncRNA from 1 species
CUGUCUCUACAAAAAUUACAAAAAAAUUAGCUGGGUGUGAUAGUGUAUACCUGUGGUCCCAGCUAUUCGGGAGCCUGGGAGGUUGAGGCUACAGUGAGCCAGGUUCCUGCGAUCCAGCCUGAGUUACUGAGUGAGACCCUGUCCACAUCCCCACAAGAGGUAAACUUAUGUUCAUCAAAAGACAUGUACAAGGAUGUUCAUAGCUGCUUUAUCUACAAUAACCAUUCACUGCAA